AUGGCGGAGUCUGGAUUUGAAGGCAAGCCAUCUGAAGCCAGAGCCCAGGCUCUUGAAGAACCAUCAGUUUGGGACAAAAAAAAAGUCACAACCUUCAUCCUGAGGGAGGACAUCUGUAAAGAAAAUAGAAGACGGAGUCCUCAUCAGAGAUGCGAGGCAACAGAGGCCCAGAAGGCCCUUGGCUUCUAUGCUGCAAUUAUCUGUCUUGCCCUGAAGAGGAACUCCUGUGUCAGUCCACAGGCCUCCGAGCUUCUGACUCCCGCGUUCUGGAUGCCUGUCAGCCACAUCUCCCGUUUUCGUACAUCAGCCAUUAUUCCAGUAUUACCGCCUGGACUUUGUUGAUUUUUCUUUUCAUCUUCCUUGUCCACGUGCAACAGAUUUGAGGCCUUCUUCAUCUCAUCAAAUAACGAAAUCAGCCAUUUUCUGAUAUUUACUUCUCUUUCAAGUAAGAUAUUUAUCCCAAGGGGAGAACCAUUUUUUUCCCCCUGCUCUCAUUGAAAUUCAUCAAAACUUUGGAACAAUGCUAUGCUCUGGGAUCGGCCUUUCCAGGUGACUUCAUCUGUAUUCGUGCCUUGUCUGCCUUCUUUUUGCCAGUGACUUGUAAAUUUCCGUCUCCUGCCGGGACCUCUCCCCUGAAUUCCCAUCUUUUGCACCCAGCCACCGGUUUGUAGCUCCACAUGAAUGUCUCUGAAAUACCACCAACGCUCGGUGAUUGCUCUCCCUUGACCCCAGCAGGCUCACCCCUACUAUCUGUGGAACCCGGGGUGAGAGGGAAACACAGGCGCUGUCUACCUGCUUCUCCUCCCGUCCCGGCCCCAUCCAGAGCUUCAGGGCUAGCACACACGUGCAUGAACACUGGGGCCCACGCUCUGUCCACACCCACAUCCACAUCCACAUCCACAAACAGCACCCUUGCUUCUCCUGGGCCUCAGGGUGCACACUCCUGUGAUGCACCCUCCCUCCUGGAGGGGCAGGUCUGGGGGCAGGCUCCAAGUCAUCUGGGUGGGGAACUCUGAGGUCCAGAUCCUGAAAAGUCACCCCAACACCCUCUUCCUGGCCCCACAGCCAACCAUCUACCCGGACCUCUAGAUUUUCUUUCAGCCUCUCCCUCCCUAGUCCCUGGGGUUUGUCCACACCACCUCCCUCUCAUCCAGAGGCCAGAGCCACGGCUCUUCCCACAUGUGCUCUUGUCUGCUCCAAUCCAUCCCAACUUUUGAAAGAUGUUAAUGAGCUGAAGUCCCCAGGUGAGUGGUGUUCCCUUGCACAACACAGACUCCACCCCCUGCGGCCACCCCACACCCCUCCUUGCUCUCGAGGUCAGCCCAUUGACCACGGCAAGCGCGAUGUCAUCCCUCCGGGUCUCCCGUCCAGAGGUGGAGCUGCCUCUCCAUCCCUUGAGUCUGGGCUGGCCUGUGACUCACCUUGGUCCACAGAACGUGGCAGCAGUGAGGUUGUGCCCCUCUGAGCCUGGGCUUCCUAAGGCCCUGCAGCUCCCACCCACACCCCUGCCCAGCUUCGGCAGGACAGGCCCGGGCUGGCUCACAGGGGAACAGGGGGGAGCCCUCUCACACCCAGGACCUCCGAGGCCCCCAGCUCCAACAACCUGCCCGCUGACCUCAGACACGUGAGCAAGCCCUGCCGGGCCCAGGUGGAGAGUCACAGAAUCACAAGCAAAUUCAGUGGUUGUUGUUUUAAGCACUACAUUUUGGGGCCGUUUGUUACAGGGCAAAAGCUGACGGAAACUUCCACGUAGUUCCUUGAGCUCCCCGGGGCCUUCCUGACCUCUGGCCUUUGACGUGGGUCACUGCCCCUCUGGGUCCUGCUUCAUCCUGAUUUGCUGGCUCGGCUCUGCUUCAGCAUUCUGACUUGGGAUUUCCCGCUGUCCCUGUCCCCAACCCCUCUGCUCCUCAGAGCCCCAUCAUCCCUGCCACCUCUCUGCCCUCCUCCUCCCCGCCUCAGCUUCACCCUCUCCAGCUCACAUGGACCCUGGAGGGGCCUCCCUCUAGUGCUUCUGUCCACGAAGCCCUUUGCUCACUCCCUGUGACAGUCAUCAUCUGAUUCACAUCUCUCUGCCCUAAGGGGCCAUGAGCUCCAUGGGGACAGAGACCACCGCAGACCUCCAGUUCCUCCAGUGCCCGGCAGACAGUAGGAGCUCAGUACACGUUUGCUGGGUGAAUAAAUGACUGAACAAAUGAUUUACGUCUGCGUCC
ensembl:lncRNA